rnacentral:lncRNA from 1 species
GCCUUUUGAUCUGGUAAUCUCCCCCACUCCAGCUGAAAACAGAAAAGAUGGCAAUCGGAAGAGUCCCCUCCGUGACUCCUGGUUGUUUCACCUCUGCUGUGCUCUGAGAGGGUGGCCGUCCAUAUCUGCCUUAUUCCUGAUCAUCGAUAACAGUCAGGCUGAUUGAUACCCAGCAAAGGUGGAUACCUACCUGUCUAUACUCAGCCCCAGAGAAUUUAUUCAAACCUCAUUCAUUGGCAGUCAUUGUGGGGCCCAAAGACUGACCCUUCCGGAAGCAGACCCAGGCACGUGGCUGCCGCAU